UGCCAGCAGCCGCGGUAAUACGAAGGGUGCAAGCGUUAAUCGGAAUUACUGGGCGUAAAGGGUGCGUAGGCGGUUUGUUAAGUCUGUCGUGAAAUCCCCGGGCUCAACCUGGGAAUGGCGAUGGAUACUGGCAAGCUAGAGUGUGUCAGAGGAUGGUGGAAUUUCCGGUGUAGCGGUGAAAUGCGUAGAGAUCGGAAGGAACAUCAGUGGCGAAGGCGGCCAUCUGGGACAACACUGACGCUGAAGCACGAAAGCGUGGGGAGCAAACAGGAUUAGAUACCCUGGUAGUCCACGCCCUAAACGAUGCGAACUGGAUGUUGGUCUCAACUCGGAGAUCAGUGUCGAAGCUAACGCGUUAAGUUCGCCGCCUGGGGAGUACGGUCGCAAGACUGAAACUCAAAGGAAUUGACGGGGGCCCGCACAAGCGGUGGAGUAUGUGGUUUAAUUCGAUGCAACGCGAAGAACCUUACCUGGCCUUGACAUGUCUGGAAUCCUGCAGAGAUGCGGGAGUGCCUUCGGGAAUCAGAACACAGGUGCUGCAUGGCUGUCGUCAGCUCGUGUCGUGAGAUGUUGGGUUAAGUCCCGCAACGAGCGCAACCCUUGUCCUUAGUUGCCAGCACGUAAUGGUGGGAACUCUAAGGAGACUGCCGGUGACAAACCGGAGGAAGGUGGGGAUGACGUCAAGUCCUCAUGGCCCUUACGGCCAGGGCUACACACGUACUACAAUGGUCGGUACAGAGGGUUGCAAUACCGCGAGGUGGAGCCAAUCCCAGAAAGCCGAUCCCAGUCCGGAUCGGAGUCUGCAACUCGACUCCGUGAAGUCGGAAUCGCUAGUAAUCGCGGAUCAGCUAUGCCGCGGUGAAUACGUUCCCGGGCCUUGCACACACCGCCCGUCA
rnacentral:rRNA from 1 species